GCAUCUCUCUUAACAGCCAGGUGCUGACCAGUAAGAUUCCAUACAAAUCUGCAAAAGGACUCUGGAGGACAAAUACUUCAGCAGACACCAUGAAGUCCUGGAGAGUCUCCACAAAAAUCGUGAGUGUUUCUCCGGUGUAUAGUCAAGGAAGUGGAUAACCCAGUAUUCCAAGAAAUCCCAAGGUAGAGCCUUCACCUCAAGGAGGAGGCCAAGUCUGAAGGCACAGAAGAGUAAGUGCUGCUUUCUGGCUUCUCUUUAAACUUGGAAGCUUUGUGGACUUGAGGGCAAGUGAUGAAAUCGCCCCAGCUUGGACUCCAGGAAGAUCCAAAUGAGCACUUCCAAGUACUUUAGGAUGUGGGGGGUGACUUCUUUUGCCUUCAGGACUGUCCCACUUGCUGCCCUGCUUAGCUGAAAGAACUAAGUCUCCAAAAUAAGUAUUUGUGGUUCACCAAAGUGAACAAAGUAUAUAUCCAAAUAUUGAUUCAGAAUCCAAAAGACCUCUGCCUCUCUGGAUUGAAUAACUUUCCUUCUUUUUCCUCUUUCCUUUACAUUUUAUACCCGGACAAAGUGUGGGGACCUUCAGUGUGCACUGAUGAUGAAUCAGCCUUGGAACCUGCUUGAGAAACUGCCUACCAGGAAAAGAACUUUGUAAAUGUGAAGAAGAAUAUCAAAACUUUCAAGAUAAGGAAAACUUCAUACUGUCUGAUUCUGUAACAGGAUUGAAAGAGAGAAACUUUCUCCAUGUUAUAGCUCCAAAACUGUCCAUUUUGGAUUCACAAGCUACAAAUACUAAUCAGGUAAUACUGUUAUUAUUUUUAGUUUAAUCCAAGUAAGUGUACUACACAGGACCAGGUAGUAUAUCUAUAGAGUGACAAAUAUUGAAGGGUAGGUCAUACAGCCAUGAUUAUUCAAACUAAUGUGUAAC
rnacentral:lncRNA from 1 species